GUGCCUGGAGGUGGGGUGGGGAGAAGUGAAGAAUCUCUUCCUUUUUAAUAGAUUUUCAAGAUGGGAAAAUCAUAUUGCAACCCACAGGCAUUUGGAAACAAUUUGUGCCGAAGACAGAAAGUACACCUAACGUUAAGCUGAAAAAACUGGACGCUCCCAGCAAACUCACUUUGCAGACUCCUGGUUGUCAGAAGAAAACGCCAGAGGAUUUCACUUGGCAUUGACCUCUUACUACUUCCAGCCACUUACCCUGGGCAGUAGAAAGAAGGAACAGAAAGCAGAGUAGAUUAAGAGGAGCAAGUACAAAUGGCGUGGGACUUCAAAUCACCACCUAAGAUUACUUCUUUGAUUUCUGAAAAAGUAGGUCAAAGGAAGAUGUCAGUGCUGGAGCAGAGGUACUGAAUGAGGAAGUGGAGUCUUGGGAUACCUUUGGAGGGAUCCAGUUAAUGGACUGGCUGCCAUAAUUGGUCUGAGACACUGGUGCAAGCAUGAGAAUGGGAAUCUACAGGUCUCUAUCCCUGGUGAGCCCGGAGGUUGAGUUUUCACAAGGGCAGCAAGAAGAAUCCCUUCUCCUCUUCCUGUCCACCUUCUGAAGAGGAGGAGACAGAGCCGGGUUGCAGAUCCUCACCAAAGUGGAUGCUGUUCCCAGAGGAAGGAAGGCCCCCCCGGGGCAAGGUUGCCAACAUGACCCCACAGAGACCAGGAACAAACGUUCUUGCCUUUGGACUUCACUUCUUCACAGAGCCAGAGUUACAGGCCAACCUGAAGAUGGUAUCAUGACUCACACACACUUAUUUCUCAGCCUCAGCCAGGCUCAAGAGCAAGACUGCUGAAGGAGGAAGGGCCCUUCAUGGCCUCCUCUGCCUCGUGACUGCUUUACCUGCCACUGAUGAGGCUUCCCUGGGAUGAGAUGGAGACGAGGGCACUGAAUGACUUUGAGUUAGGGGGACUCAAGAGGGUGAGGGCACCAUGAUCAUUACCCCUUCAGUCUCCUGUCUCCCUCUUGGCAUCUCUGCAACACAGAAGGCUGGCAAUGGUGAGAUAUUAUAUUGUCAAUUAUUCAAACUUUAGAAUUUUCUGAUGCCUCAACAUCCCUGCAAAUGGGCUGUGAGCACCUUGCCCAGGUGACCAGGUGCACCAGUGUGCUAAGGCUGGUCCGGGCCACAGGUUCCCCACUUUGUGCUCCCCUGACUGGGACCUAGUGACAUCAACACCACCAGUGCAAUCCCCUCACACCUUUUGCUUGUGGAUUCCCCUCUGAAGUCCAAUAAAGGCGCUUGUCUGAG
rnacentral:lncRNA from 10 species